AUCUGGGCGGCGGAAUUCAGGAUGGCUGGCGGGUCUCGCGCUCGUCCGGCCGUUUGAUAUUUCCGUCGCCGUGUCAGACGUCGCGACCUGUUCGUCGUCGGUCCCUGCUCGGAGGAAUCGCGAUCGAGUUCGUUGCGGGCGCGCUUCGGCGUGUUCCGCGGCGAAGACGCGGCUCUCUGGCUGGCGACGGACAGUAGGCAACGGUGUCCGGCGCCGUGUCUCGCACUCGGCGUCGGUGCCGGUCAGCGACGAUUUCUUCGGGCCUCUUUCCGACCCGUCUUGAAACACGGACCAAGGAGUCUAACAUGCGCGCGAGUCGCGGGGUUUCGAGCGUGCCACGUUGUGCGCUCGUUACUUCCGAAACCCGUACGUUGAAGGCGUAAUGAAAGUGAACAGGGAAGAUGGCGUUCCGAGUCCACGUACCGUGAUCGAGUAUCGCGGCCGGACGUCCGCACUCCCGGGGCGUCUCAAUGGUUCGUCGCGGAUGCGGACGGUCGUCUUUCGGGGCGGCCGUCGGUCUGCGCCGGUCCGA
rnacentral:rRNA from 1 species